rnacentral:rRNA from 1 species
CCUACGGGAGGCAGCAGUGAGGAAUAUUGGUCAAUGGACGAGAGUCUGAACCAGCCAAGUAGCGUGAAGGAUGACUGCCCUAUGGGUUGUAAACUUCUUUUAUAAAGGAAUAAAACGAGGCACGUGUGCCUUUUUGCAUGUACUUUAUGAAUAAGGAUCGGCUAACUCCGUGCCAGCAGCCGCGGUAAUACGGAGGAUCCGAGCGUUAUCCGGAUUUAUUGGGUUUAAAGGGAGCGUAGAUGGGUUGUUAAGUCAGUUGUGAAAGUUUGCGGCUCAACCGUAAAAUUGCAAUUGAUACUGGCAGUCUUGAGUACAGUUGAGGUAGGCGGAAUUCGUGGUGUAGCGGUGGAAUGCUUAGAUAUCACGAAGAACCCCGAUUGCGAAGGCAGCUUACUAAACUGUGACUGACAUUGAUGCUCGAAAGUGUGGGUAUCAAACAGGAUUAGAUACCCCUGUAGUC